GGAAGUGAUAGCUCAGUGGUUAAGAUGUUGGACAUGUGAUCGGAAGAUCAUGAGUUCAAAUCUCACUACUGCUG